rnacentral:tRNA from 1 species
GGGGAGGCGGCGAAGGUGGUGAGUCGCGUCGGUCUGUAAAAUCGAUGCCGUACGGCUAUGAGAGUCCGAAUCUCUCCCUCCCCAC